UGUGCCAGAUGUUUAGAGUUUUAAUUCAGAUCACUUAGAAAAGUUUUGAUUGCGUGGCACGUAUCCUAGAUUUCGUACUAAGAGAUCCUGAGUAAUUUCGAUUGUUGUUGGUUGCACAGUGUUACACGUGAUUUAAAAGGGUUUGUUGAUUCUUCCCCGGAGGUAACUGGUCGUGGUUUAGACCUUCCCCUUAAUAACAGCCCAAGCGAUGGGGGAAGUCAUUUGGGUGGAAUCCAGCUGGAAAUAGUUGGAGAGCGUGGCACAGAGAAGGGUGUCUGUGUCCUUGUUGUUCUGGUUAAUCACAGAACGGUGCUAGUCGACAAACAGGGGUGGAAAGGCAGACCCGGAACACUUGAGAGCGGAGAAACCGUCCCUUCGCUGUCCACGGCACACGCAGAAAGCGGAGCCCAGGACCCCCGUGGACAGGAGCAAGAAUUUGGUGCAAUUAUAGAGGUCGUUCCCAAGACAGUAGGGAGGCAUUCCACGAAGUUCAGAGUCAAGGGACAAUUCAUGAAGCCCGCCUACAUCUGACCCAGCCCUCUAGGAGGGCCCACCAGCGCCUGCUGUCCUGGCCUUGAUUUGCAGCUUCCUGCCACCCAUGGUGCGGAGGAGAGAGGCCGAGCAUGUGGCCUGUGGGAGAUGGUGGGAUAAAGCCGCAGGAGGAGGGGAGAAGCAGGAGCCAGCAGGCUUCCACGAGGUAUGCAUGCGCAACAGGACAAGAGAAGGAAAUUCAAGACUCAGUGAAAAUCAACAGUCUAAAGUAGCCAGCAUUGCUGUGGAUUAUAUGGCCGGAGAACCCACAUCGCUCCUUUCAAGUCAAGUCCUGGGGUAAUUCGCACGGCUUCCUUCAAAGACUAAUUCAUUUAACACGGAACAGUACGGUUCAGAGCUGAAGUAAUAGUUAACAUAUUGCUUAACUCUAGCUUGGACUGUUCUUAACACUCAUAUCCUCUUUAUUAAAGGAUUGCUAGAAAGUCUGAAGCAAAUACAUAUUUUAAGAGGUUUUGUUUUUUCCUAAACUUGGGACUGGGGGAGGGUCCAAUGUUAAAAACAAUUGCGAGAGAGAUUUAGUUUAUAUAACACAGCAUUGUGUUGGGAACUAAUAGGCUAUUUUUUUUUUUUUUAUUAACUGUGAUAGUGGGUGCUCUGGCUCCAAGCUUCAAACCUAAAGAUCCAAGAUGCCUGAAACUCAGAAAAUCUCUAUGAGUGAAAGUCAACUUCCUCUUUACGUCUUCUCCGGGCACAUGUAUUUCAUGUUGUGGCUGUCGUUGACCAAAAUGACAGACAUCAGAUGAAUUACUCCUUUUCUGAGAAGCACAAUGCUUUUUAUACUAAUUAUGAUGUUUGGAAUGGAAUCAGAAAAGGCUGGGAGUGUAAAGAAAAGGGAAAAAAAAUGUUGCGAUUAGAGUGUAGAGGGCAACAGGCCAUCCUUGCCUCUGUAUUUUGGGGCACAGAUUGAUCAUUAAACACUUUUUAGUACCUCUUGACUACAGACAUUUUAUAUCCCGGAUCGAGAAACCUCAUAAUGAAUGAAAG
rnacentral:lncRNA from 1 species